CAUUCUCAACUUCGACCGCCCUUCCCCCUUCCCUCUCUCCCUCCAUCUCUACGCCAUGAGAAUGGUCUGUGGAAGGUAAUAUUUCUUUUGCUGUCCCAGGUCGACUAGGUAAUUUGACAAACAUACUGAAGAAAAGGAGAGAUGGUGAACAUGGCUUCCAAUGUUGCUGAUGUUCAAGGGACAGGUUCACCUUAUAUGUACACCAUACUUUGGAGAAUUAGGACGAAAGACAUCGCCCUCUGUUUAUAGAUAGCAACAGCAACAGUGAGUCUAGGCUUUGAACCGAGGAAAAUAACCUUAGCGCCUUCAUUGACUCAAAUUUGGUCACAUAUCUCAUUGCUAAUGCUCAUAAUUCAACAAGUUAGAAAAGAAUGGGUAAAAAUUGUGCUGGGAUAACUGGCGACAGAGCAAGCGCUCUGGUUAGGCCCUUCAGGCACAGACCACCAAUGCUUGUUACUUCAGAUUGUACUAAGCAUCAACGGCUGUGGCAUUUUUAGCAUUGUUAUUUCAAAUACAGUUAGAUUUAAAAAUUUCUAGCUGUGAUAUCUCCACUUUAGAUUGCCAAAGUGUCCCUUAGGUUCAG
rnacentral:sRNA from 1 species